rnacentral:lncRNA from 1 species
GCCUACUAAGUAAGACCUUCACCUCAAUAAAUAUAGUAGUUAAGGUAGUGAAGAAUGUAGGACCCAAAUCUGGCCUAUAAGCUAACAUGUGGUGCAUUGCAGCUUCCUCCACAAACGUUGGAUUACUUAAUGCACAAUGGCAAAACGGGAUGAAGAAUGUGCAAAUCUGGGGGACAUAAUAGGGGCUUUGUUUCAUCAUAGGGGUGAUCCAGAGAGCACCAGUCUAAGCCUACUGUUCUAAAUAAAUCUAUCUUGCAACAUUCAUUCAAUUUUGGAUCAUGUCAACGAGCAUUCGCCUCAGCUAUGGUACCAAAUCUGCUAUCGUUUCUGAGAAGUUCCAUUCCAGUCCCCGAUCGAAUCCAAUUGAGUGACUCCUGAAGCCAACCAACUCUUUUUCGAUAUUGUGAAUUCCUUAACUUUUUACUGGCUUGCUUGUUUGUAAGCUCCACGGGCGUGCCAAUUCCUUA